AGAGUUUGAUUAUGGCUCAGGCAUGNACGCACAAGACGUGCCUAACACAUGCAAAUCGAAUGAAAAGAAUUAAUUAUUGUUUUCAUGGUGAACGGGUGAGUAACACAUAAGAAUCAGCUUUUAGAUAAGGCAUAAAAGAGUAAUAUCUUGGUAAUUCCUUAUAUGCGCAGCAGUGCUUAAAAAGGGGAGUCCCGUCUAAAAACGAGCUUAUGCCUGAUUAGCUAGUUGGCGAGUUAAAAGCUCACCAAGGCGAAGAUCAGUAGCUGGCCUGAGAGGGCGGCCAGCCACAUUGGGACUGAGACACGGCCCAAACUCCUACGGGAGGCAGCAGUGGGGAAUCUUCUGCAAUGGGCGCAAGCCUGACAGAGCGGCGUCGUGUGAAGGAAGAAGGCCUGAAAUAGGUUGUAAACUUCUUUUACUGAGUAAUGAAUAAUGACAACGCAGUAAAAAAGUAUCGGCUAACUCCGUGCCAGCAGCCGCGGUAAUACGGGGGAUGCAAGCGUUAUCCGGAAUCACUGGGCGUAAAGCGUCUGUAGGUGGUUUAGUGUGUUCUUAGUUAAAUUAUGAAGCCUAACUUCAUGAAAAGUAAGAAAACUAUUAGACUUGAGUACGAUAGGGGUAAGAGGAAUUCUUCGAGAAGUAGUGAAAUGCGAAGAUACGAAGGAGAAGAUCAUAAGCGAAGGCUUCUUACUGGGUCGUAACUGACACUGAGAGACGAAAGCUAGGGGAGCGAAUGGGAUUAGAUACCCCAGUAGUCCUAGCUGUAAACGAUGGAUAUUCGGUGCCGGAAAUUUUAUUAGAACAUUUCGGUACCCUAGCUAACGCGUUAAAUAUCCCGCCUGANGAGUACGCUCGCAAGGGUGAAACUCAAAGGAAUUGACGGGGGCUCGCACAAGCGGUGGAGCAUGUGGUUUAAUUCGAUGCAAGCGAAAAACCUUACCAGGGCUUGACAGUAUGUAUAAAAGUCUUAACGGACUAUUUUAAAAAUACAUAUACAGGUGGUGCAUGG
rnacentral:rRNA from 1 species